UAGUGCCUCAAGUAGUUACCGUCGGGGGUAGAGCACUGUUAGGCUAGGGGGUCAUGGCGACUUACAAACCUAUGCAAACUCCGAAUACCGAUGAGUACAGCUUGGGAGACAGAGCACCGGGUGCUAACGUCCGGGACUCAAGAGGGGAAACAACCCAGACCGCCAGCUAAGGUCCCUAAAAUUGGCUAAGUGGGAAACGAAGUGGGAAGGCUAAAACAGUCAGGAUGUUGGCUUAGAAGCAGCCAUCAUUUUAAGAAAGCGUAAUAGCUCACUGAUCGAGUCGUUCCUGCGUCGGAAGAUGUAACGGGGCUAAGCCAGUUACCGAAGCUGCGGAUGCACAGUUUACUGUGCGUGGUAGGAGAGCGUUACUGUAGGCCUGUGAAGGUUGUGUUGUAAAAGCAUGCUGGAGGUAUCAGAAGUGCGAAUGCU
rnacentral:rRNA from 1 species